GUUUGAAGAUGGGUACAAUGAUGAUCUUACAGCUCUUGAUGAGAAAGCUCUCCUGCAACAAUGCUAUACAAGCAAGCCCUACAAUACACAACACAGUAUGAGGAAAUCAGAAGCUGAGGAUGUUGCUGCGGAGAGAAAGAAACAGGCUGUAGUAGAACAAGUGAUGCUAGAUCAGUUAUGCAGAGCUGUCAUAAGUGAUCCAGAACAAUCCACACAAGAUGAUGUCUCCAAGGAAGCUCAUGGACAUUUGGGACUUGGGACUGC
rnacentral:lncRNA from 1 species